AACCUAGCACACCUGCGGUGUGUACCUGCGGAAGGAUCAUUACCGAGUUUACAACUCCCAAACCCCUGUGAACAUACCUAUAAUUUGCCUCGGCAGACUCAACGACGGUGCUCCGAGAAAUCGGGCGCCGCUCGCUGCCAGAGGAACCCCAAACUCUAUGUAUUCUUGUGGAUCUUCUGAGUAAAACAAAACAAAUAAAUCAAAACUUUCAACAACGGAUCUCAGAUCGGAAGAGCACAC
rnacentral:misc_RNA from 1 species